rnacentral:tRNA from 1 species
GCCUGGGUGGCUCAGUCGGUUAAGCAUCCGACUUCGGCUCAGGUCGUGAUCUCACAGUUCGUGGGUUCGAGCCCCACGUCGGGCU